CCACCCAUGUGAACCGUGCACCUUUGAAUGGAGGCAGAGGGAGGGAAAAUUGAAUGAUUUAUUAGUAAUAGUAUGGAAACUGCAGUCAUGCACACCAGAAAUCCUGCUGAUGAACUCAUUUCGUUUGGCAAAAGUACACUUCAGGAAAAAAGAAAAUAGUUUCUUAACUGGACAUAACACCAGAUGAGUAAAUACUAGUUUUCACCUACCUUUGAGAACAAUCAUGACAUUUUACAGUGAAAAAGAGCAUGGGAACCAAACCAUAAUCUGAAGCUGAUGCAAUGUAAGUCAGGCGUGAAUAUUGAGAGGUGCCAGAGCCCCCUGUUGGCACCAGAUGAGGUUGGCUUCAGUGCUUUGCAAAGAGAAGUGGGUGCAUCAAGUCCUGAACUGCCUUUGCUCUGAGCCUCCCACCCCAGUAGUCCCAAGAAGCACUUCCUAGAAGA